AGUGAACGCUGGCGGUAGGCCUAACACAUGCGAGUCGAACGGCAGCACAGUAAGAGCUUGCUCUUACGGGUGGCGAGUGGCGGACGGGUGAGGAAUACAUCGGAAUCUACUUUUUCGUGGGGGAUAACGUAGGGAAACAUACGCUAAUACCGCAUACGACCUACGGGUGAAAGCAGGGGAUCGUAGGACCUUGCGCUGUUGAAUGUGCCGAUGUCGGAUUAGCUAGUUGGCGGGGUACAGGCCCACCAAGGCGAUGAGAGGUAGCUGGCCUGAGAGGGUGAACGGCCCCAAGGGGACUGAGAUACGGCCGUGACGCCUACUGGAGGCAGCAGUGGGGAAUAUUGGAGAAAGGCCGCAACGCUGAUUCAGCAAUUCUGUGUGCACGAAGAAGGUUUUCGGAUUGUAAAGCGGUUUCAGAAGGGAAGAAGAAAGUGACGGUACCUGCAGAAGAAGCGACGGCUAAAUACGUG
rnacentral:rRNA from 1 species